rnacentral:rRNA from 1 species
ACGGGAGCAGCAGUGGGGAAUAUUGCACAAUGGGCGAAAGCCUGAUGCAGCGACGCCGCGUGAGCGAAGAAGUAUUUCGGUAUGUAAAGCUCUAUCAGCAGGGAAGAUAAUGACGGUACCUGACUAAGAAGCACCGGCUAAAUACGUGCCAGCAGCCGCGGUAAUACGUAUGGUGCAAGCGUUAUCCGGAUUUACUGGGUGUAAAGGGAGCGUAGGCGGUUUUACAAGUCUGAUGUGAAAGCCCGGGGCUCAACUCCGGUAUUGCAUUGGAAACUGUAGAACUAGAGUGUCGGAGGGGUAAGUGGAAUUCCUAGUGUAGCGGUGAAAUGCGUAGAUAUUAGGAGGAACACCAGUGGCGAAGGCGGCUUACUGGACGAUUACUGACGCUGAGGCUCGAAAGCGUGGGGAGCAAACAGGAUUAGAUACCCUGGUA